CUCUUCUACUUGCACAGUGGGAAGAAAGAAUGUUGAAAGGUCAUUUCAAAUAUGACAUAACUGCCUCUGAGAUUAAGAUCAUUAGGGGUAGAAGAAAGUUUCUUGCUCAGUUAAAUAAUGACUGGGGUAUGGAUUGUUUCAAAGAUCCUGAGAAGCUUAAGAUGUGCCAUGAAGAGGAUACACUUGUGUUUGACCGGACAAAGCACUGUGAGGAAUUACUCUUUUGCAUUACAAACAGUGAUAAGGCAGACUCUGAGCUUAUUCCUUCAGCNCCGUGCCUAAUGAUGCUAUCUUGAUUGUUAUCAAUGUAAACCCAGUUGAAUAUGGCCAUGUCUUCCUAGUACCUCAUGGCUUUGACAGUCUUUACCGGUUCCUGGAUGCAAGAUUCUUGGAAAUGGUU
rnacentral:misc_RNA from 1 species